UGAGAUCCCCGGCAAUUUCAAAGAAAUUGCCCAGCCACAAUUUCUCCAAUCCAAGCCGUCCAAUUCAAUCCAUUUAAAAUAACGGCUAUUAAGAUGCCACCUCAUCGAUCCGCGUCAAAUCUCAGAAGAAACAUCUUCUCCCUCCCCAAAUGGCAAAUACGAAAAAUUCGCUUGAUGCCAUGGAGACAAGGUUUUAGGCAGAAAAUUUUGGGACGAUACCUGUACCUUUCCCGGAAAAAGUCGCCUGAUACCUGUACCUUUGCCCGGCGAUUUCCUCAACCUCCUGGGACCGCGUUUUUUGCGAGGUUCCGGUGCCCCCAGUUCCAGAUCUGGACUCGCCUGGACGUUCUUCUCUCCUCCAACUCGACCUCUCUCCAUGGCUGCUUCAUCCUCUGCUCAACCAACCACAAACCCGCAGGUCUCUAUUUUUUUUGUUGAUUUUUAUUUUGGUUAUAGUUCAUGGGUUGUUUGUCUGAUUUGUGGGUUGUUCUGGGUUUGCUUUUCUCCCGAACCCUUUGUUUGGUUACCGAGAAAAUGAAAGGAAACCAAAAGAUUCAAAAUUGUGGUUUCAGAUGUUAAUGUAUUCAGAUUUUUUUAUUUUUUUAUUUUUUUCAGUUCAUGUAUUCAGAUGUUCCUACAGAGUUUUAUGUUUUCUUUUUUGAAAUAUUAUUGUUUUAAGUUUUGUGAUGAUGGUUGCGAUGGACGCCAUUGAGUAUUAUGUUUUUGCCCAAAUGGCAUGUGUAGGCAUCUCUGAUUCUCAAUGUCAUCUUGUAUUUAUUCUUUUUUUUUUUUUUUUCCUUUGUACCAAAAAUUGGUACUGCGGGCAUGAUUAACUGAACCAUAGAUAGAUAACAACCAAAUCAUUAUCUACUUCUAAGAUUUGAUAAAACAUCUGUCAAAAUGGAAUCAUGAAACAUUGGUUGAGCUUGUGUUUUUUUUCUAAACCACAAGAUUUAAAAUUGUGGUUUCUCAGGGUUGUUCUCAAAAAAAAAAAUUAUCAAAAAAGAUUUGUGGAUUUUCUGGGUUUGCUUGUCUCUGUUGGUUUGGCUAUUCUUUGUUAUCCUCCUGGUUUCUCUGUUUGGUUGAUUUUGCUGUUGGUGUCCAUGUCGUUGAUUUUACUGUUUGGGUGCUCAUGGAAUUCUCAUGGAAUGUAUGACAAGGUCGAAUUUUGUAGUGUUUAUUUGUUAUUUUUUCCCUUUUCUAUAGACUGUAUUCUUCAAGUCGUCUCUUUGUAGCAGAGACAUGUUAGUAACAGAGGCUUUGCGCCUACAAAUUGAAAUUCAAAAGCAGCUCCAUGAACAACUCAAGGUGGGCCCAAGAAAAUCAAGGGAGAAUGCGUUUCUGUAAAGUGGAAAUUGCAAGAAGUUGUUGGUUCAGUGCUGUUGCUGUCCUUUCAGAUAAUUGACUGUUUGGUUGGUUUAGUUUUGUUGGUUUCUCCAUUGUGAGUUGUAUAGAGGUAGCAAAUUGUAUAGAUAGCCAAAAGUAGAGAAUUGUAUUUUUUUUUAUGUUAUUUUGGCUUUGUUUGCCAAUUUGUAGCCUUUUGGCAUAAAAUUCUCUUAUUUGGUUAAUAAAAUUCAUUCAUCCAAAAAA